AAUAGAUACCCGGGUAGUCCAUGCCGUAAACGUUGGGAACUAGAUGUAGGGCCUGUUCCACGGGUUCUGUGUCGUAGCUAACGCAUUAAGUUCCCCGCCUGGGGAGUACGGCCGCAAGGCUAAAACUCAAAGGAAUUGACGGGGGCCCGCACAAGCGGCGGAGCAUGCGGAUUAAUUCGAUGCAACGCGAAGAACCUUACCAAGGCUUGACAUAUAGAAGAACACUGCAGAGAUGCAGGACUCUUUGGACACUUCUAUACAGGUGGUGCAUGGUUGUCGUCAGCUCGUGUCGUGAGAUGUUCGGUUAAGUCCGGCAACGAGCGCAACCCUCGUCCUAUGUUGCCAGCGGGUCAUGCCGGGGACUCAUGGGAUACUGCCGUGGUCAACACGGAGGAAGGUGGGGAUGACGUCAAAUCAUCAUGCCCCUUAUGUCUUGGGCUUCACGCAUGCUACAAUGGCCGGUACAGAGGGUUGCGAUGCCGCGAGGUGGAGCGAAUCCCAAAAAGCCGGUCUCAGUUCGGAUUGGGGUCG
rnacentral:rRNA from 1 species